rnacentral:lncRNA from 10 species
AGCCUCCUGCUUUGCACUGCUUCAGAAGUUGGCAAACAUCUUGAGGGAAGCCUGGCUCUGUUGACACUCCUGGUCUCCAGUUUUGACAUCCUAGCCCCAGAUGAUGCACCUAAAGUUGAAAAGCUGACUUCCACCUCCUGGGCAACGUGGCUCAGGUUUGUGCGCAGGUCAAGACAAAACUGAUGUCAACACCAGGAAUGAAGGAGAAAUCUGUGGCUUAAUGAAG